rnacentral:rRNA from 1 species
UUGACCUCAAAUCAGGUAGGACUACCCGCUGAACUUAAGCAUAUCGAUAAGCGGAGGAAAAGAAACUAACAAGGAUUCCCCUAGUAACUGCGAGUGAAGCGGGAAAAGCUCAAAUUUAAAAUCUGGUGGUCUCCGGCCAUCCGAGUUGUAAUCUGGAGAAGCGUUUAUCCGCGUUGGACCGUGUACAAGUCUUCUGGAAGGGAGCGUCAUAGAGGGUGAGAAUCCCGUCUUUGACACGGACUACCGAUGCUUUUGUGAUGCGCUCUCGAAGAGUCGAGUUGUUUGGGAAUGCAGCUCAAAAUGGGUGGUAAAUUCCAUCUAAAGCUAAAUAUUGGCGAGAGACCGAUAGCGAACAAGUACCGUGAGGGAAAGAUGGGAAGCACUUUGGAAAGAGAGUUAAACAGUACGUGAAAUUGUUGAAAGGGAAACGUUUGAAGUCAGUCGCGUCGGUCGAGACUCAACCUUGCUCUUUUGCUCGGCGCACUUCUCGGCCGACGGGUCAGCAUCAAUUUCGACCGUCGGAUAAAGGCCGAGGGAAUGUGGCAUCUUUCGGGAUGUGUUAUAGCCUUCGGUUCGCAUACGGCGAUCGGGAUUGAGGAACUCAGCGCGCCUUCAUCGGUCGGGGCUUCGGCUCAC